CACAAAAACCCAGACUGCAGCCACAGAGGGAAGCUCCCUCGGUCUCUGAAUGACUGUGUGGAGUCAUGGGCACAGGACUGUGACCUGAAGAGAAGAGGAAACUAGAAAUGCAGGCUUAUCGUGUUGAGCUGCAGAGGCGGUGGCUGCUUGUUAAGCAGUUAGCCUCCUUGAGCGCCGAGCAGGAGGACAGCCACCUCCUCUCUGCCACCGCAAUGACCCGGUAAACUGCAGAAAACCUAGAUUAUAUUGUGCUGGUGCCGAAGCAUACGAAGACGUUCUCUGAAGUGUAGGUCCAUUUCACAGACUCUGGAAUGAGCUGGGAAAUCAGAACAGGGGAUAGAGGUGCAUCACAGCCUUCUAAUAAGACUGACCCUUUGACAAACAUUAUCUUUAAAGUCCACCGUGCAUUCUGGACUUUAAAGAAACUUACUCAAACCACAGUAACAGACCAUUCCAGGGGUUAGAUGCACUUGGGUGAAGUGAAAACCCCAGAGGCAGCUCUUUCCAGCAGCUCCAGACGCUACCACCGUUUGCUACUCGGGGUGUCCUCGCAACUCACAUGGACGCUGUGUAGGGCAGAGCACCGCAGAAGAAUCCGCUCUACAGAGCCAUUGGUUAUGAAUAAAAGAGAAAGGAAGAACUAGGGGUGCAGACUACAUUUUUAGUUUUUGGAGAUCCAUGCUCCGAUUUUGGACAACCAUGAGCGUGGAAGAGAAUUUGCCAUCCCAUAUGGAGUAGCCAGCUGCGUCAUUCGGAGAGCACCUGCACGUCAACGGGACACCGUCUCACACUGUAUAGCCACGACCACUGCGACUCCCCGGGGCUGGGCAUGCGUGGGGGUCUCUGCUGCAUUUCCUGUCAUGCGCGUAGACCAGGUGCCAUGGGAUGGGCUUAGAGCAGCGAGUGACCCAGACCUGGUCUUUCUCCACAGUGGGGAAAAGAGACUACACACAAAAGGCCUCACUCGCUGACUGAGGAGACUGUGGUCAACACUCGGCAAGGGGCCUGGCUUCCAGCUCUGAAGGUCAAAACACCCGAAAUGAAGCGGAGGGUUAAAUAGUGAAUGUGUCAUGGUGCUGUCAGCAGCCCUGUGACCAGACAGCCUGACAGGACAGCUUGGG